AUUCGUUCCCUCGUUUAAGCUAAAUCGUGCGCACGAUUUAGUAAUUCGUUCCCUCGUUUAAGCUAAAUCCUGCGCACGUUUUAGUAAUUCAUUCCCUCGUUUAAGCUAAAUUGUGCCCACGUUUUAUUAACUAGUUCCCUCGAUUAAGUUAAAUCGUGGCCACGUUUUAUGAAUUGGUGCCAAGAAUUUCAUUUAAACCAUCUGGACAUUAACACAACGCUAACAAGAUCAAAUUCACUCUAGCCAUUAUAAAUGACGCAUACUUAAUGCAGUUUUAUAAAUUCCUGCCAAGAAUUUCAUUAAAAUCAUCGGAAUAGUGACGCUUAUUGCAGCUCAAUGCAUUAAUACAUUGCUAUUAAGUAUCAAAUUCAUACACCUUAUGGCUCCUGUAUAUAUACAGUUUAUUAACUCCUUCACAGAAUUUCAUAAAAUAUAUUGGGACAUAACGUGAGCUAACGCAUUGAUACAGUGCUAUAUAAGGAUCAAAUUCAUACAUCUUGGGUCUUAAACCGUUUUAUUCAUUUCUGCCCGGAAUAAUAAAAAAACAAUAAUCGGGAAAUUAACAUGACCCUUAACGCAUAAAUACAGUGCUAUUUAAAGAUCAAGAUUAAUCUAUAUACCUUAUUAAUGAGCCAUACUUCAUAUACAGUUUUAUUAAUUCCUGUGCAGAAUAAAAAAAAACCUUAACACAACCUUUAGGACAUUAACAUGACGCUUAAUGCAUGCUAAUGCAUUAAAUACAAUGCUUUUAAGAUCAAAAUCACUUUAUUUAUAAGUCACAUAUUCCUGCACAGAAUUAAAAAACAUAUUGGGACAUUAACGUGACGCAGUAAUUAAUUUUGUCAUUUAUUUUGGUUUGUCCAACUAAAAAAUCACCCAAGUGACAUAAAGAGAUUUUAUUAAGUUAUUUUAUUUUAGUGAUAUUUAAGCCCCUGAAUUAUUUAGUUUAAUUAAUUACUGCGUCACGGUAAUGUCCCAAUAUGUUGGGACAAUAUAUGGGCAGGAAUACAUAAAACAGAAUACACUGUAAAAAGUCAUUCUGCAGGCUUGUAGAUUUUAUGAAAUUGAAUAUGUAAACUUUAUUUAAUAAAAUUAAUUUCAUGUAGUUUGUUAUUUUUUUUGUGUUAAAAUUCUUUAAAAAUGACUGGAAUAAAAACAACUUAUUGUUUUUGUGAAGGAUUUAGCUAUUCUUAUUGUGUAUCUGCUCAUGUAGCGAAUACUGAAUAAAUCCAACGUAAUAUUAAUCAGCUGUUUUAAAUCAAAAACCAUUCCGGGUUGUAUUGCAGGUCGUGAGCGCUGAGCAGACAGAUUUAGGAAAUAUUACUGUUAUUGUGCCAAAAUUCAAAGUUUUGAAAGCAUUUCAGUCGAGAAUGUAUGUUUUUUAAACAAGAAUCUGCAGUAGGUUCAUAAAGAUAUCGCCUAUUUAAACAUUUCCUUCGAGUUUUGUGGCGAUGGGAGCUCCAGAUAAUCAGCCGGCGCUCCGCGCGUAAAUAUACCGGACAACGUCGCCUCACCUCGGCCAGUGUCGCUGAAAAUCUCCGCUGGCUGUGACGUCAAUGUAGUGUUUAAACUGUGGAUAAAAUUCAUUUCGGGUAAAUUUAACGGGCAAUCUUAAGUCUUAUAAGUCUAUAAGCAGGGUUUCUUGUAUAAUUUGUUUGUAAUUUGUAAAUAUUAAUUACAAUAAGGAUUAAUAUCAACUGGGUAUGGACGUAACUUCAGCUUUAGGACCCAGGAGGUCGCAUAUCUAGGAUGCAUUCGUCGAUUCGCAUGCUGCGAUUGGUGGUCCAGAUGCAACUCAUUUUGAGUGACAGAAAAACUGACCAAUCAUACUGUUCCUCUGAAUGGGUGGGUUCUCUUAUCACUAACUCUCAUAGAUAUGUAUCAUGUAUGUAUCUAUUAUGACAAAUUCUGCUCGCUCUCUCGCUUGGUUCGUGUUAUAAAAAUAAAUGUGACUUUACUGCGGUCUUUUUCGGUUUAUUUAGUUUUGUGUUAACUAUAUCCACAAAGUAUUCGAAUAAAUUGGUAAUGUAAAACUAUUCUUCGCUGUAAAUUAAUUGUGUGCUCAAUUGCGACGCCCUGUGUUGAAUUUUCCCGCGAGUACAGUAUCAUUACUGAGGGGAAAUAUAACAUUAUUCAUUUAAUUCCACAAAAGGCCUGUAACGUACUGCAGCUUCCUGCAGGCAACGUGAAACAUUGCUGAGGGAGAACUUUAUUCACAACAAAAGGAUAAAGAUGAAGAGGCGGGCCUUGAGCAGCUUGUGAUGGCUGUAAUUGUAAAGAAUGGAUCUUCUAGGAGUGGAAGCCCAAAGGAUGCUGGUAUUGUUAUUAAGGCCUUAAAGGUGUUCACAGGGCAUGCUUUAUCCUUGGAUCUAUGCAUUUAAUCUCCAGUAUCCCAGGCAUCUUUUCAGGUGUUUCAGAAACUUUUCUUGGAGCUGGAUUCUUCAAAGUUUAUGAACUGAUUACAGUACAGUGAGUCUAAACUGCUGUCUGAUUUUCUGGGUGUGAAUCAAUGUAACAGAACACAAACAUGGAACCUUUCAUCGGGAAAUGUGGACGGUUUUCUUUAAAGACUGUAAAAUACUUUUUGAAGUUUACACUGUUACAAAUACAUCAUUAAAAUGAGAUGCUUUCCUGUUCUUUUGACUGCAAUAAAAUAAGAAUUGAUUCAUCUUUGUCUGUCAUUCUGAAAUCAGAUAUAAUACUCAUUACUAAUAAAAAUACUAAUGGAUAAUGUUAAAUUAAAAUAGUAUAAUUGAAUAGAAUUUAUUGUAUAGUGCUAGGUCUUUGUCCUGUAUACCCAAUAUUUUGUUUAAAUUUAAAUUAAUUUCUAAUUGCAAAUUGCAGAUUACCUUUUUGAAUGGGUUACUAUUAAAGAGUUUAUGGAGUGAUUCUAACACAAUUUUUAUUUGUUGAAUUUAAUUAAUGAUAUUGCUUGUAAUCUGUUGCCACACUUUUAUUGAGUAGAUAUCACAUAAUUUUUUUAUUGUAUAGUGCUA